GGAGACCCCUAUUCCCCUCACAGAGCUACAGCUUCUAAAGUUCCCUGAGAAAUGACAUUGACUGUUAAACCACAUUGGGAAUUGUAGCUCUGAGAGGGGAAUAGGGGUCUC